rnacentral:rRNA from 1 species
CGACCGGCAAACGGGUGCGGAACACGUACAGAACCUUCCUUUGAGCGGGGAAUAGCCCGGAGAAAUCCGGAUUAAUACCCCAUAGUAAAUUGAAAAGGCAUCUUUUUAAUUUUUAAAGAUUUAUCACUCGAAGAUGGCUGUGCGCCUGAUUAGGUAGUUGGCGGAGUAACGGCCCACCAAGCCUUCGAUCAGUAACUGGUGUGAGAGCACGACCAGUCACACGGGCACUGAGACACGGGCCCG